rnacentral:rRNA from 1 species
UACGUAGGGGGCAAGCGUUGUCCGGAAUCAUUGGGCGUAAAGAGCGCGUAGGCGGUCCGGUAAGUCCGCUCUGAAAGUCCGGGGCUCAACCCCGGGAGGCGGGCGGAUACUGUCGGGCUAGAGUCCGGAAGAGGCGAGUGGAAUUCCUGGUGUAGCGGUGAAAUGCGCAGAUAUCAGGAGGAACACCGGUGGCGAAGGCGGUUCUCUGGGCCUGUACUGACGCUGAGGAGCGAAAGCGUGGGGAGCGAACAGG